ACGGAGGGGGCUAGCGUUGUUCGGAAUUACUGGGCGUAAAGCGCACGUAGGCGGCUUUGUAAGUUAGAGGUGAAAGCCCAGGGCUCAACCCUGGAAUUGCCUUUAAGACUGCAUCGCUUGAAUCAUGGAGAGGUGAGUGGAAUUCCGAGUGUAGAGGUGAAAUUCGUAGAUAUGCGGAGGAACACCGAUGGCGAAGGCAAUCCCCUGGACCUGUACUGACGCUCAUGCACGAAAGCGUGGGGAGCAAACAGGA
rnacentral:rRNA from 1 species